UACGAAGGGGGCUAGCGUUGUUCGGAAUUACUGGGCGUAAAGCGCGCGCAGGCGGCUCUUCAAGUCAGGGGUGAAAGCCCAGAGCUCAACUCUGGAACUGCCUUUGAGACUGAAGAGCUUGAGUACGGGAGAGGUGAGUGGAAUUCCCAGUGAUAGAGGUGAAAUUCGUAGAUAUUGGGAAGAACACCGGUGGCGAAGGCGGCUCACUGGCCCGUUACUGACGCUCAGGCGCGACAGCGUGGGGAUCAAACAGG
rnacentral:rRNA from 1 species